AGCGAACGCUGGCGGCAGGCCUAACACAUGCAAGUCGAACGAACCUUUCGGGGUUAGUGGCGGACGGGUGAGUAACACGUGGGAACGUGCCUUUAGGUUCGGAAUAACUCAGGGAAACUUGUGCUAAUACCGAAUGUGCCCUUCGGGGGAAAGAUUAAUCGCCUUUAGAGCGGCCCGCGUCUGAUUAGCUAGUUGGUUGAGGUAAUGGCUCACCAAGGCGACGAUCAGUAGCUGGUCUGAGAGGAUGAUCAGCCACAUUGGGACUGAGACACGGCCCAAACUCCUACGGGAGGCAGCAGUGGGGAAUCGUGCGCAAUGGGCGAAAGCCUGACGCAGCCAGGCCGCGUGAAUGAUGAAGGUCGUAGGAUUGUAAAAUUCUUUCACCGGGGACGAUAAUGACGGUACCCGGAGAAGAAGCCCCGGCUAACUUCGUG
rnacentral:rRNA from 1 species